rnacentral:rRNA from 1 species
CCUACGGGAGGCAGCAGUGAGGAAUAUUGGUCAAUGGACGCGAGCCUGAACCAGCCAAGCCGCGUGAAGGAUGACUGCCCUACGGGUUGUAAACUUCUUUUAUAAAGGAAUAAAGUGAGGCACGUGUGCCUUUUUGUAUGUACUUUAUGAAUAAGGAUCGGCUAACUCCGUGCCAGCAGCCGCGGUAAUACGGAGGAUCCGAGCGUUAUCCGGAUUUAUUGGGUUUAAAGGGAGCGUAGAUGGGUUGUUAAGUCAGUUGUGAAAGUUUGCGGCUCAACCGUAAAAUUGCCAUUGAUACUGGCAGGCUAGAGUAUAGUUGAGGGAGGCGGAAUGCGUGGUGUAGCGGUGAAAUGCUUAGAGAUCACGAAGAACUCCGAUUGCGAAGGCAGCUUACUAAACUGCCACUGACAUUGAUGCUCGAAAGUGUGGGUAUCAAACAGGAUUAGAUACCCCGGUAGUC